rnacentral:rRNA from 1 species
UGUUCAACUACGUUCGAGGGGCGGGUCCAGGUCGGUCGGUCCGGUCACGAGAUCAAGACCGACCGUGGGCCAAGGCGGCGACGGUACGCGCUCGGUCGGCGCCGGCGGCGACGACUUGCGAUGCCAGCGGGCCGUGUAAGAAGCGGCCCGCUUGACACAUACGACCUGAGUUCAGGCGAGAGCACCCGCUGAAUUUAAGCAUAUUAUUAAGCGGAGGAAAAGAAACCAACAGGGAUUCCCUGAGUAACGGCGAGUGAACCGGGAAGAGUCCAGCGUCGAAUCUGCGCGCUUUUCGAGCGCGCCGAGUUGUGACGUACGGAAGUCCCAGUGCGGCUGACGGCGAGCGCCGGUGUCCUUCUGAUCGAGGCCUCGUCCCACGGCGGGUGUUAGGCCCAUAGGGGCGCUUGCCWUGGCCGCUUCGGGUCUUCUCGGAGUMGGGUUGUUUGGGAAUGCAGCCCAAAGCGGGUGGUAAACUCCACCUAAGACUAAAUACGGUCGCGAGACCGAUAGCGRACAAGUA